rnacentral:tRNA from 1 species
UAGCUUAGUCGGUAAAGAAUUUGCGUGCAAUGCAGAAGACCCAGGUUUGAUUCCUGG